GCCUCGGUGAUGUAGUGGUAGCACCCCUCCCUGACACGGAUGAAACGCGGGUUCGACUCCCGACUGAGGUC